UUGCAUGCCAUAGCUAGCUAGCUAUAAAUUGAGAACAUGACACGGAGCUAAAUUACUGUAACUUUUACGGGAGUAAAAUGCCUCUACGUACACCUUUAGUAUUACAGAAAAAAAGCAGGAAACAAAAUGUAAAGAAUCACUGCUUUUGUUUCCGGUUCCUGCCACGCCCAGAUACAAUCAAUACCAGGCCGUAUUUUUCAACUUCGUUCUAUUAAAAAAAAUCGGCCUGGGACCGAGGCUAGACGGUACUACACAGCCAAAAAUCCACGGGUCCGUUUCAGGCCGUUAGUUGAAAACGGGCCGUUACGGGCCUGUGAACGGCCUGUAUACAGGAUGUAGCCCACCCACGGCCUGUAUACAGGCCGUUCUCACAGCUGUAAACAGGACGUUAGCCCACGUCCUGUUUACAGCCCGUGGAUACGGGCCUGUAUUAGGGCGUAGCAUCCACGUCCUGUAUACAGGCUGUUGCAGCUGUAGCUUAUGCGCAUGCGCUAGCUUGGGGCAGGAUGACGUCACCUGACUACAAAAAGAGAAUGAGACAGACAGAGCUCUGAGAAAAAAUCCUGCUGCUUGUCACAAGAGGAGCUGCUGGUCCAAAAAGACAACUUAAAGAGGACUAUACACUAUUAGUCUACCUGUGAACAAAAAAAGGUUUGCACGUUAUGGACUUUUGAAGCUGGAACACUGGCCAAUUUUACAAGGCUCCCAUCUGAAGUUUUUUCACUAUUGAUAAAGAGGUGUUGAAGAAUGCUCCCAGAUAAUGCUGCCGAGUUGAAGUCUGGACUAAUUACACACUAGAUGUUGUCAGAAGAAUGAACUAAAGAUAAAGCAACAGUUUCCUGUUGCGGGAUAUCUUCGAGAUGAAAAAGAGCCCUUGUAAUGUGUACAGCACACUGUAAGCUGUUGACUGACUUCAUAGUACGCCGAUGUUGCAAAACUCAAGAUUUCUUUAUUGGCAUGCCGAGUUGGAGUCUGGAUGUGUUAGAUUGAAGUUUUUAGACGAAUGAUAAAGAGAAUGCAACAAUUGCCUGCUGGCGAGCUAUCUCGGAGAUGAAGAACGGCCCUACUAGCUGUUCACUGACUUCAUAGUACGCCGGUAAGCAGUGGUGUAUUUUUUGUAUAAUUCCCAGCCUCUUCUCCUCAGAGUCUAUCUUUGUGCACAAAAACAAGACAAAUAUAAAUACAUGCCACCGUGGGGAUGUGAAGACACGGACAUGAUAAUGAGAGACAUAAUGUAGCUGAACAGAAAUUAAUAUAUAUAUAUAUAUAUCUUGUUCUUGUCUUCUUUGUCUUUGAAUUGUGACCUUUUGAAGCAUGA